UACAGAGGGUGCAAGCGUUAAUCGGAAUUACUGGGCGUAAAGGGCGCGUAGGCGGUUUAUUAAGUUAGGUGUGAAAUCCCCGGGCUUAACCUGGGACGUGCAUUUAAAACUGAUAGGCUAGAGUAGAGUAGAGGGAAGUGGAAUUUCCGGUGUAGCGGUGAAAUGCGUAGAUAUCGGAAAGAACACUCGUGGCGAAGGCGACUUCCUGGACUCAUACUGACGCUGAGGCGCGAAAGCGUGGGGAGCAAACAGG
rnacentral:rRNA from 1 species